UGGCUCAGGAUGAACGCUGGCGGCGUGCUUAACACAUGCAAGUCGAACGGGGCACCCCUGAAGGAGUUUUCGGACAACUGAAGGGAAUGCUUAGUGGCGGACGGGUGAGUAACGCGUGAGUAACCUGCCUUGGAGUGGGGAAUAACAGUUGGAAACAGCUGCUAAUACCGCAUGAUGCAGUUGAGUCGCAUGGCUCUGACUGCCAAAGAUUUAUCGCUCUGAGAUGGACUCGCGUCUGAUUAGCUAGUUGGCGGGGUAACGGCCCACCAAGGCGACGAUCAGUAGCCGGACUGAGAGGUUGGCCGGCCACAUUGGGACUGAGACACGGCCAGACUCCUACGGGAGGCAGCAGUGGGGAAUAUUGGGCAAUGGGCGCAAGCCUGACCCAGCAACGCCGCGUGAAGGAAGAAGGCUUUCGGGUUGUAAACUUCUUUUCUCAGGGACGAAGAAAGUGACGGUACCUGAGGAAUAAGCCACGGCUAACUACGUGCCAGCAGCCGCGGUAAUACGUAGGUGGCAAGCGUUAUCCGGAUUUACUGGGUGUAAAGGGCGUGUAGGCGGGAGUGCAAGUCAGAUGUGAAAACCACGGGCUCAACCUGUGGCCUGCAUUUGAAACUGUACUUCUUGAGUACUGGAGAGGCAGACGGAAUUCCUAGUGUAGCGGUGAAAUGCGUAGAUAUUAGGAGGAACACCAGUGGCGAAGGCGGUCUGCUGGACAGCAACUGACGCUGAGGCGCGAAAGCGUGGGGAGCAAACAGGAUUAGAUACCCUGGUAGUCCACGCUGUAAACGAUGGAUACUAGGUGUGGGGGGACUGACCCCCUCCGUGCCGCAGUUAACACAAUAAGUAUCCCACCUGGGGAGUACGAUCGCAAGGUUGAAACUCAAAGGAAUUGACGGGGGCCCGCACAAGCGGUGGAGUAUGUGGUUUAAUUCGAAGCAACGCGAAGAACCUUACCAGGGCUUGACAUCCCGAGGCCAGACCUAGAGAUAGGUCCUUCUCUUCGGAGACCUCGGUGACAGGUGGUGCAUGGUUGUCGUCAGCUCGUGUCGUGAGAUGUUGGGUUAAGUCCCGCAACGAGCGCAACCCUUAUUGUUAGUUGCUACGCAAGAGCACUCUAGCGAGACUGCCGUUGACAAAACGGAGGAAGGUGGGGACGACGUCAAAUCAUCAUGCCCCUUAUGUCCUGGGCCACACACGUACUACAAUGGUGGUCAACAGAGGGAAGCAAAACCGCGAGGUGGAGCAAAUCCCUAAAAGCCAUCCCAGUUCGGAUCGCAGGCUGCAACCCGCCUGCGUGAAGUUGGAAUCGCUAGUAAUCGCGGAUCAGCAUGCCGCGGUGAAUACGUUCCCGGGCCUUGUACACACCGCCCGUCACACCAUGAGAGUCGGGAACACCCGAAGUCCGUAGCCUAACCGCAAGGGGGGCGCGGCCGAAGGUGGGUUCGAUAAUUGGGGUGAAGUCGUAACAAGGUAACCGU
rnacentral:rRNA from 1 species